GGAGAAUACAGAUAUUUAAGAUCGUCUGCAUGAAAAAAGGGAAGGUAGGAAGGGUGUCACACUUGUUUCUCCAGCCAAGUUGUAAACUCAGCCAGAGUUUUGUCCGUGGUUUCUCCCACAAAGCCUUUAGGCUUGUCUCGUUUUUUCUCACUUCGAGAUGUUAUGAAAUGCUUGUCCCAGCAGAUGGCAGAAGAGAACCGAAUUAGGAAAAAACAGCCCAGACAUUUCAACGCGCACAGGGAGCCGAGGGAGAAAGCCUUCACGCCCCGAUGUGCAUCUGAAGUAGCCCUGGACAUUGACUCACCAUCGUUAUUGAACUUUCCCAGCGAAGCUGCGGAGGUGGCAGAUGCAGCCAUCCAAGCUCCAGGAAGAAAUGGCACCGUGACUUGUGAUACGCUGACACUCGGCACCUGA
rnacentral:lncRNA from 1 species